UCAAAUCCUCGUACCAAAUGACCCGCGAACACGUUCCGAAAAACGAUAAGCGUUGUUGCGCCCUUGCUCGGUCGUCGGUCGGUGACUUAAUAAAUCAUCUGUUGCCGGACGCGUCGAGCAUGGAACACGAAAUCCGGCGCGGGAAGCGCCAAGGACUAGCAAAAUAGGGGAUGGCCUUCCCCGCGGCGUCAAUCCUCGCCGCGGGGACUAAAGGGUCUCCAAAGGACAAAUCUUAU
rnacentral:misc_RNA from 1 species